rnacentral:lncRNA from 1 species
AACAAAUCAUGGGCCGAUCAGUUUACUCGAAAAAAUCGAAUGGUUACUAGAAAAAUCACUCGUUUAGUUUUCUAGUAACCAGUCGAUUUUUUAUUUAUUUUAAUUAUUAGGUCUUUCGAAGAAUUAAAGCUUCCGACUUGUUUCGUAAUGAAAUGAAAUCCUCGCUCCAUGUGUCUUCUCCAUCUGCAAUAUUUAAUAUUGAUCAAUGUGGCUUUACCUACGAAGUUACUUUCCAACGUACGUUAUUGGAAAAAGGAGAAAAACAGUCAGUUAUGCACAAUCACCGCGUAACAAGAUCACCCAUUCGUAUACAGUGCAAUAUAUGAUAAGCUGUGAUGGAAGAGUCAUUUGUAAUGCAUUCCUUUGUUUGCGAGAACCAAAUAGUUCGUUA